rnacentral:lncRNA from 1 species
UUCUAUUGAAUAACAGGGAAAUAUCUUCAUAGCUCUUGGGGUAGACAAAUAUUUCUCUAGCAGGACAUGCAAAGAACAGUGACCAUAAAGGAAAGUGAUAAUUUGAACUAUGUUAAAAUUAAGAACUUCUGAUGAACAAAAGGCACCACUGGGGAGAGAUUGAAAAAGCAAGCCACAGGAUGGGAGAAGACAUUUGUGAUACAUAUAUCCAACAAAAGUUCUGUUGAAUAUAUAAAGAACUCCUGUGGAAUAUAUAUAUAUAUAUUCAUUCCUUAUAUAUUCUGUUGAGUAUAUAAAGAACUCCUAGAAUAUGCACCAAAAGAAUGUACCUCCAAGAAAGCUCAGAGAAGCAUUCAUGGAGCAAAUAAUAAAUAUAAUUAUAUUCACUAUAAUUAUCUAAACAUUAUAAAUAUAAAUAUUAUAUUGUUUUCAUUAUCACCCCAAAAUGAAAACAAACUCCAUGCAUUCAUCAACAAUAGAAUGGAUAAAUAAACUGUAAUAUAUUCAUGUAAUGGAAUACUACACUGUGAUGAAAAGGAACAAACUACUGUUACUAUGACACGGGGGGAUCUCUCAAACGUGACAUUGGACAAAAGAGACCAGGCACAGAAUAGUACACAUACAAUUCCAUUUAUAUGAAGUUCAAAAACAGGUAAAACUUACUCCUAUGGUGCUAGAAAUAAGGAUCAUAGUGUCAUUUUGGGGAUGGGUGGGGGUGAAUUGGAGGGGCGCAUGCAGGGUUCUUGGGGUACUGAUAAUAUUCUGUCUUCUAAUCUGGGAUGGAUUACACAGGAAUGUUUGCUUUGUGAAAAUUCACUGAGCUGUGUGUUUAGUAUUUGUGUACUUUUCUAUAGUAUAUACCUCAAUUAAAAAUCUGUCUAAAAUUGGUGCACGACAAUGUGAAUGUACUUAACACUAUUGAACUAUAUUCUUAAAACUGUUAAAAUGAUCAAUUGUAUGUUACAUGUAUUUUAUCAAAACUAUAAAAAGAUUUUUAAAAGAAUGAACCAACUUCACUGAUACCUUGAUUUGACUUCUGGCCUCCAGGGUCAUGCGAUGCAGCCAUAUUUACUUCCAGUGAGUUCCCAAAUCAGUAUUUUUUAGGCUCAACUUAGUUUCUUAUGUAUGUAACAUCUGCCACCAAAAGUAAAUAUUUUCUAACUGGAAAAAAAUAAAUUUAAAUAAAGGAGUUUCCCUGCAUACUCUAGUGCUAAUAGGAAAAAAUACGGCAGUCCAUCAGAGCUCACCAAGCUCGGUGAUUGGAUCAACUCUGCCAGAGUGUGAAAUCAAGCAAGUAGACUUAAAAUCUCAGCUUCUCCCUCCCUCUGUGCCGACAGGCCCCUGGAGGGAAGUUCAGCUGGACGAAGUUCACAGGCCUGGGGAUGCCUACUGAGACAAAGCCCUUGCCAGCUGUUGUUUUCCUCACCCUCAUAGUGUAGGAACUGAAGCCAGGGCUGACCUCAGCAGCUGUCCCCACAGAUCAUGUCUAGAGCACACUAAAGGGUUGGACCAACCCCAGAUCACAGACAGCUCCACAAGGUCACAGUUCCAGCCCUGCAACUGACCUCACCAGCAGCAUUGUUUAGAGCACUCAGCAUUGUUUGCAAGAAGUUUGUCUAAAGUUUGUCGUGUAACCGUGCUCACACUGAAGUCAUGAUCUGCCGGCCCUGAGCCUCUGCAUCUCAGUUUCUUCGCAUGGAAAACAGGACUAACAACACUCAGUCCCCACUGCUGUCAUGAGGAUGGAACACUCAAGGAGAACUGCACAGUGUGGCUCAGCCUCACGCUUUGUUUGCUUAUCAGUUUUGAUUCUGCAGGGCUCUUCAGGACCACAGCCCUGUCCCUUCUUCCAGUCUGUAUCAGCAUCUGAUCUCUCAGGGUGGGUCUAGGUCUUCUUUAAUAAAUCCAUCCAGCUGAGCUUUCCAUCCACGAGCAAGAAGGGACGCUCACCAGACACUGGCAAGCACUGAGUUUGUCCCCGGCCCAUGUCACCUUCACCAUCCUUUAUCUUGUAGGAACACAUUGAGAGCCAGAGUCUGAAGGAAUGUGCUGCUCAAAGAGCUGAAGACAGAACUCAUUUGAAGCUUGCAAAUGCCUUAGUCUUUAAAGAAUUCACUAGAGCCAAUGCAAGGCUGUCCCUAUCCAGCCUGUGUGCUCCAUCCUGGUCUCAUGAGUAGGAAAGGAGCUAGUCACAGAUCCUGGAGCUCUGGGGAAUUUCUUCUAGAUACAGAGCUUUGGGGAGCAGGCUAGAGGAAGCCACUGAGGCCCACACGCAGCCUCUGCUCCUGGGAGAGCCCUGAAGGGCCAUGAGAUGCACCACAUCAGGGCAGUCCCCAUCCUCAGAGAAGGCUACACAACUUGACAGUUUCUGUGCCUGGGUCUGUGCUAGCCCUUUAGCCUGGGGUGCCACCCACUCCACCUUCCAAUGAUUAAACCCCUCUUUCCCUUCAAGGUACUGUAAAUGCUCCUUUUGUGAUGCCCCUGGAGCUUCUCCCAUUGCAGUCCUAUACCAUGUUACUUGCAUGUUGCUGCAUUUACGAAUUGCCUGGAGCACAGAAGUCACGGUACCAGUUGUUUUGCAUAAGAAUUCCAUUUAAUCCUCAUUGCUCGCUUCAUUAGGCAGGUAUUGAUAUACCCAUUUUACAGAAGAGCUUCACCAAGUAAAGGCAGAGGGCUAGAAUUAAGAUUUAAACUUGAGUCUGACUCCAAAGCCCAUGCUCUUGCAAUGACCAUGUUAUGAAUCUUAUAUUAAUCUUUGUUUGGUCUUAUGAUCUGGCACGGUGCCUUGUACGUAAGCAAUUCUCAAUAAAUGUUUGCAGAGUGCAAUGUGUCAUCUCAGAGUGUUGAAGGAAAGCAAACCAGCGUCUCAAGUAAUUUAGACUUUGGCAUAACUUUCUGAAAGGGACACGCCUGCCAGCUGCCGCCGACCACCCCGCCGACCCUGUUUCUGUAUGUCAUAUGGUGGCUGGGAGCCACGGGCCCUCUCCAAGUCCAUCCACUUAGGAUUUCCUCCUCCGUCAAACUCAGAGGCUUUGGCCAUUCCUGAUGUUUACUCAUUCACUGCCAAUCCCACACGCCUCUAUGCUGCUCUCUUCCACAAGCAUUUGGCUCUUCAUUUCAGAAUUUCCGCUGAGUCAUAGCUGGAGCAGGCAGUGAGGGUGUCCCUUCAGCUCUCUAAAUUUACCUCCCUGAGCUUGAUUUCCCAUAGUGGCCAGUUGACCUUGACCAGAUUGACUUCAGAGAAGCCAGCUGUAAUUAAGCAGAGGCAGAAAUCUCCAAGGAGGCAGCCGCAUGGAGGCGUGACAUGUGACCAUGACUUUCGGCUGGAGGUGGGGGUCAUGUGCACGUGGCCUGGGGCUUAGCUCUCACCCUGCUACUCACUCAGAAUUCUCCUCUGGGUUUGGAGGUCUGUGAGCAAGAUGAAAAAACACAGAAUUCUGUUAUUCUGUUCCUCGUAGUGUAAGCAUUCUUUUUCUUGGGUUCUUUUUUAGGAACAGAACAAAAUUAAAAGUAAAGGGAGCCAAAAGCAGCAACACCCAGGGCUGAAAGUAUUGAAAAGGCCCAUGGGCAGCCAGCCAGCAAAAAGAAGAAGCUGAAACAUCCCACAGCAGGGAAUUGCUAUGUAUGUAAGCCCCAUUUCAAGAACAACUAAUACAGAAAAAUCCAAAUCUUAAAACCUACAAAUUAGUGCACGAGUACUACAACUGAUGUGCCUUACAAACAGAUUUUUACUUAAUAAACAGACUCUGUGAGAUCUUUGGCCAAUGGUUAUUCCUUUGUAUGGCUUCUUGAAAUUCCCUGAGAAAUUAAAGAAAGUGAUGGACCCCUUUUCCAGAAAAUUGUAUUCACACAUGAGACCCCAUCUCAAAAAAUCAAUUAUUUAUUAAUUAAGAAAAGAAAUGUAAUUCCUUUCUUCUAUUAGAUUACGACCUAUAAGAAAGAAUAGUAAACACUACAAAUCUGACUGUAUUAUGGACACUCUAGGUGGAGCCAAGAUAGCCGACUAGAAACAGCGGCAAUCAAAGGCUCCUAUGAAAAAGAACCAUAAUUGGUGCGUAAAUCCUUCAUGGGCAACCAAGCUACCCAGGUUCUCUCAUCAGGACUGACUUAGGCACCUGAUGUGAUCCAUGAUAAGGAAGGAAGAGCAGUGGAGUGUGGCAGCCACCUAAGAGCCACACGGGGCAGGGGAGUUCCACCCCCAGCAAAGGGAGGCGGUGAGUGAGCGUGCUACCCAGCCGGGGAAACCGUGCUUUUUACACAGAACUGUGCAACCUACGGAUUGGAAGAUCCCACUGGCAAACCCAUGCCACCGGGGCCUAGGGUCCCAAACUUGGAGCCGCGCACAUUCUCAACAGCCCCUCACUGGAAUCUGCUUAAGCCUGCCAAGCUUCCGGGGGGAGGGGUGACCAACACCACAGCUGCAGCUGCCUGCUGCCUAAGCCAUUUGAGCUCCUUGGGGUAGAGGCAGCAGCCAGCACUGGGACUCAUAACUGCCUAACACACUAAGCUCCCUGAGCGGGGGAAGGGCAGAAGCCAUUUCUAUAGUCAGGCCGCACUUUUCUCCUGCUGGAGUCAGGGAGGCACCACGGCUUGGUCCCCAAGAGGUGUCCCCCACAGCCCAACAUACCAGCUGUGGCAGACUGUGGCCAGAGCGCCUCUUCAGGCCUGACACUGACACAUCCUUCCUCACUGGGCAGGGCUUCCCUGCAGGAACUCCAACAACUGCAGCCAGAGGCUCAGGGACAGAACCGAGAUCUCCCUGGGCCUGAGCCCCUAAUGGGAGGGGUGGCCGCACCUCCAUUACCAGGAGGAAAGGAAGAUUUAGCCUUUCCUCCUGGUAGUUCUGAGGAAUCUGGACAGCCCAGAUGAAUGGGUUUCCCCAAAGCGAAGCACACUCCC